ensembl:lncRNA
CCCCCCCCUAUUUACCCCCAUCCUCCACGCACACAUACACGCACACAUACACAUACACAUACACAUACACAUACACAUACACACACACACGCACACGCACACAAGGUAAUAGGACUAAUGACAGACUGUUGGGACGAGCGUUGGUUGCUGAUGCAGCAGUGAGUGUCUAACACGUUUCUCCACACAGGUAUACACCAGGUAUAGAUAGAUACAGUCACAUAGACACCAGGUAUAGAUAGAUACAGUCACAUAGACAGCAGGUAUAGAUAGAUACAGUCACAGAGACACCAGGUAGAGAUACAGUCACAUAGACACCAGGUAUAGAUAGAUACAGUCACAUAGACACCAGGUAUAGAUAGAUACAGUCACAUAGACAGCAGGUAGAGAUAGAUACAGUCACAUAGACACCAGGUAUAGAUAGAUACAGUCACAUAGACACCAGGUAUAGAUAGAUACAGUCACAUAGACACCAGGUAGAGAUAGUCACAUAGACACCAGGUAUAGAUAGAUACAGUCACAUAGACACCAGGUAUAGAUAGAUACAGUCACAUAGACACCAGGUAUAGAUAGAUACAGUCACAUAGACACCAGGUAUAGAUAGAUACAGUCACAUAGACACCAGGUAUAGAUAGAUACAGUCACAUAGACACCAGGUAGAGAUAGAUACAGUCACAUAGACACCAGGUAGAGAUACAGUCACAGAGAAACCAGGUAGAGAUAGAUACAGUCACAUAGACAACAGGUAUAGAUAGAUACAGUCACAUAGACACCAGGUAUAGAUAGAUACAGUCACAUAGACAGCAGGUAUAGAUAGAUACAGUCACAUAGACACCAGGUAUAGAUCCCUCCAGAACAUUCGCUCUUCUGUGUGGUUCCAGACUGACUCGCCCCCUGCGUUCGGGGGCGGCUCGCUGCCGUACGGGACAGAGAUUCUCGGCCCCUCACACUCCCCCGGGGGGAAAAGCCCAGCCUGGGAUUAGCUGCUGGACGGAACAGCCUUGCACAUGAAGUAGCUCACAUAAUUGGCACUUAGCGUCCAUCG